UGCUGUUUGAGACAAAACACGAUAAAAACACGUCUUGGAGCUAGUCAUUGAUUGCGAUUGAUCCAACCAAACGUGAGAGCAUGGUCAAGGGGAGCUGAUGGAUAUGAUCAUCAAAGUUAAUUAUGUCCAAGCUAUGCCUACUCAUACAUCAUUCCUGAGAACAGGCAUGGGCCAAGCAUCAACUCUGAGUCACACUGACAAGUUGAAAAUCAACAGGCUUUCCCAUUGUGGCGAUGAAGAUAAAUGAGGUGAAUAGAAACAGCAUCGUGACAGUUUUAGUGAUAAAAAAAGCACCAUCAAAUCCUGAGUGCAAUUUAAAAUAA